rnacentral:misc_RNA from 1 species
CUUUAGCUGUGAUUACUAAGGCUAAAGGUGCAAAUGUGUAUUCGUGGGAUGAUAAAAGGGGGUUUUUAUGCUUUGGGAGGCAGAAGAGGGUUUGUAUCUUCAGACAUGAUGGGGGGAGAGGAUUUGUGGAGGUGAAAGAAUUUGGAGUUCCUGACACAGUCAAGUCGAUGUCUUGGUGUGGUGAGAAUAUCUGCUUGGGGAUUAGAAGAGAGUACAUGAUAUUGAAUACUACCAAUGGUGCAUUGUCUGAGGUGUUUCCUUCGGGGAGGAUCGCCACACCUCUUGUGGUGCCUCUUCCCUCUGGAGAACUUCUUUUGGGCAAGG